rnacentral:rRNA from 1 species
UAGGGAAUCUUCCACAAUGGGCGAAAGCCUGAUGGAGCAACGCCGCGUGUGUGAUGAAGGGUUUCGGCUCGUAAAACACUGUUGUAAGAGAAGAAUGACAUUGAGAGUAACUGUUCAAUGUGUGACAGUAUCUUACCAGAAAGGAACGGCUAAAUACGUGCCAGCAG